UACGUAGGGUGCAAGCGUUAUCCGGAAUUAUUGGGCGUAAAGAGCUUGUAGGCGGUUUGUCGCGUCUGCUGUGAAAUCUCAAGGCUCAACCUUGAGCUUGCAGUGGGUACGGGCAGACUAGAGUGUGGUAGGGGAGACUGGGAAUUCCUGGUGUAGCAGUGAAAUGCGUAGAUAUCAGGAGGAAUACCGAUGGCGAAGGCAGGUCUCUGGGCUGACACUGACGCUCAUGCACGAAAGCGUGGGGAGCAAACAGG
rnacentral:rRNA from 1 species